CCCCUCUCAGGUUGACAUCUGGAGAGUUUCCAGUAUUCUACCAGUCUCAGUUACAAGAGGGAGAAUCAAGCAGAGGCAUACCCAUUCUAUUCCUAGCUUGGAUAGUGGCUAGUGAGUGGAAGGCAAUCUGCUACAUGU